rnacentral:rRNA from 1 species
UACAGAGACUGCAAGCGUUGUUCGGAUUCAUUGGGCGUAAAGGGUGCGCAGGCGGUCCGGUAAGUCGGAUGUGAAAGCUCGAGGCUUAACCUCGAAGGGUCAUUCGAAACUGCCGGGCUUGAGGACUGGAGAGGAGACUGGAAUGGUUGGUGUAGCAGUGAAAUGCGUAGAGAUCAACCAGAACACCGGUGGCGAAGGCGGGUCUCUGGACAGUUCCUGACGCUCAUGCACGAAAGCCAGGGGAGCAAACGGG